CCUGGCAGAGGUUACUGCUAUCGAGGUUCGACUAAGCCAUGCGAGUCGAAUGUAGCAAUACAUGGCGUACUGCUCAGUAACACGUGGACAACCUACCCUGAGGUCGGGGAUAAACCCGGGAAACUGGGUAUAAUACCCGAUAGAUCUAGAUUGCUGGAAUGCUUUUAGGUCUAAAGUUCCGACGCCUCAGGAUGGGUCUGCGGCCUAUCAGGGUAGUAGUGGGUGUAAAGUACCUACUAGCCUACGACGGGUACGGGUUGUGAGAGCAAGAGCCCGGAGAUGGAUUCUGAGACACGAAUCCAGGCCCUACGGGGUGCAGCAGGCGCGAAACCUUUACAAUGCUGGCAACAGCGAUAAGGGGACCUCGAGUGCUACGAUACAAUCGUGGCUGUCUAGUUGCCUAAAAAGCAAUUGAUAGCAAGGGCCGGGCAAGACCGGUGCCAGCCGCCGCGGUAACACCGGCGGCUCGAGUGGUAACCGCUAUUAUUGGGUCUAAAGGGUCUGUAGCCGGCUUAGUUAGUCUCUUGAGAAAUCUGGCCGCUCAACGGUCAGGCGUUCAGGGGAUACUGCUAGAGCUCGAGACCGGGAGAGGUGAGAGGUACUUCAGGGGUAGGGGUGAAAUCUUGUAAUCCUUGAAGGACCACCAGUGGCGAAGGCGUCUCACCAGAACGGAUCUGACGGCAAGGGACGAAAGCUAGGGGCACGAACCGGAUUAGAUACCCGGGUAGUCCUAGCCGUAAACGAUACUCGCUAGGUGUCGGCCACGGUGCGACCGUGGUCGGUGCCGUAGGGAAGCCGUGAAGCGAGCCACCUGGGAAGUACGGCCGCAAGGCUGAAACUUAAAGGAAUUGGCGGGGGAGCACUACAACGGGUGGAGCUUGCGGUUUAAUUGGAUUCAACGCCGGAAAUCUUACCGGGGCCGACAGCGAUAUGAAGGCCAGGCUAAGGACCUUGCCUGAUUAGCUGAGAGGUGGUGCAUGGCCGUCGUCAGUUCGUACUGUGAAGCAUCCUGUUAAGUCAGGCAACGAGCGAGACCCA
rnacentral:rRNA from 1 species